rnacentral:sRNA from 1 species
AGCAGCACUCAGCUAAAAGGAAGACUCACAGAAGACAGUUGAAGAAGGAAAGUGGCGAUGGACCUCAUCCCAAAUUUGGCGGUGGAAACCUGGCUUCUCCUGGCUGUCAGCCUGGUGCUCCUCUAUCUAUAUGGGACCCGUACACAUGGACUUUUUAAGAGACUGGGAAUUCCAGGGCCCACACCUCUGCCUUUGUUGGGAAAUGUUUUGUCCUAUCGUCAGGGUCUCUGGAAAUUUGACACAGAGUGCUAUAAAAAGUAUGGGAAAAUGUGGGGAAUGUAUGAUGGUCAACUCCCUGUGCUGGCCAUCACAGAUCCCGACAUGAUCAGAACAGUGCUAGUGAAAGAAUGUUAUUCUGUCUUCACAAAUCGAAGGUCUUUAGGCCCAGUGGGAUUUAUGAAAAGUGCCAUCUCUUUAGCUGAGGAUGAAGAAUGGAAGAGAAUACGGUCAUUGCUGUCUCCAACCUUCACCAGCGGAAAACUCAAGGAGAAAAGACAUCACAAAAUUCAUUACAAAAUGUCACUUACUGCUCCAUGCUGGAGAAAGCCAUAUCCUUCUGGGACUUGAGUCUGCACAUUUAACUA